rnacentral:rRNA from 1 species
AUUGAACGCUGGCGGCAGGCCUAACACAUGCAAGUCGAGCGCGCGGCGGACGGGAGAGACACGCCUGGGACUUGCCCAGACGGGGGGGAUACACGUUGGAAACGACUGCUAAUACGGCAAAGGGUGGGAAUGCGCAGGUGGGAGUAGCUAGUUGGGGAGGUAAUGGCUUACCAAGGCGACGAUGCCUAGCUGGUCUGAGAGGAUGAUCAGCCACACUGGAACUGAGACACGGUCCAGACUCCUACGGGAGGCAGCAGUGGGGAAUCUUGGACAAUGGGGGAAAACCUGAUGCAGCCAUGCCGCGUGUGUGAAGAAGGCCUUCGGGUUGUAAAGCACUGUCAGCGAGGAGGCGUUACUCGCAGAAGAAGCACCGGCUAACUCCGUGCCAGCCGCCGCGGUAAUAC